rnacentral:rRNA from 1 species
UAGGGAAUCUUCGGCAAUGGGGGGAACCCUGACCGAGCAACGCCGCGUGAGUGAAGAAGGUUUUCGGAUCGUAAAGCUCUGUUGUAAGAGAAGAACGGGUGUGAGAGUGGAAAGUUCACACUGUGACGGUAUCUUACCAGAAAGGGACGGCUAACUACGUGCCAGCAGCCGCGGUAAUACGUAGGUCCCGAGCGUUGUCCGGAUUUAUUGGGCGUAAAGCGAGCGCAGGCGGUUAGAUAAGUCUGAAGUUAAAGGCUGUGGCUUAACCAUAGUACGCUUUGGAAACUGUUUAACUUGAGUGCAAAAGGGGAGAGUGGAAUUCCAUGUGUAGCGGUGAAAUGCGUAGAUAUAUGGAGGAACACCGGUGGCGAAAGCGGCUCUCUGGCUUGUAACUGACGCUGAGGCUCGAAAGCGUGGGGAGCAAACAGGAUUAGAUACCCUGGUAGUCCACGCCGUAACGAUGAGUGCUAGGUGUUAGACCCUUUCCGGGGUUUAGUGCCGCAGCUAACGCAUUAAGCACUCCGCCUGGGGAGUACGACCGCAAGGUUG